rnacentral:rRNA from 1 species
UUUUAAUUGAAUGCUAAAAGAAUGGAAUUUCAGGGAAAAACUUUUUUGAUUUUAAUAAUUAAAGUUAUUUUAAUUUGUGAAGAAACAAUUAUAAAAAUUAGGGACAAGAAGACCCUAAGAAUUUAUGAAUUUAUACAUAAAUGUAUAUUGUGUUUUAAAUUCUUGGUUGGGGCAACCAAAAAAUAUUUGUAACUUUUAUAAAAUAAAAUGAUCCAUUAUUAAUGACAAUAUGAUUAAAAUACUCUAGGGAUAACAGCGUAAUAAUUUUAGAUAGACCAUAUAGACAAAAUAGUUUGC